UUAUGGACUUGAUCGAAUUGAGCCUUGGUAUGGAGGCCUACCAAGUGAUAGCCUCCAAAUCUAGGGAACCCUAGGAUAUUUUGAAUGGGCAAUCUUGAGCUAAAUUUGGUUCAUGGAGACAAUACUUUCUUCUCCUAAGAUAGGAAAGGGAUAGGUGUUGAGACUCAAUGGAAGCUAUUCUAAUGAAUGAAUCUCAUUUGGUCCAACAUUGUAUUUAUAGAAUGCUCUAUUUAUACCUCGAAAGUGGGCA
rfam:Picea glauca, whole genome shotgun sequence.